rnacentral:rRNA from 1 species
UACGUAGGGCGCAAGCGUUGUCCGGAAUUAUUGGGCGUAAAGAGCUCGUAGGCGGCUUGUCACGUCGGGUGUGAAAGCCCGGGGCUUAACCCCGGGUCUGCAUUCGAUACGGGCUAGCUAGAGUGUGGUAGGGGAGAUCGGAAUUCCUGGUGUAGCGGUGAAAUGCGCAGAUAUCAGGAGGAACACCGGUGGCGAAGGCGGCUAUCUGGACAGAGUCUGACGCUGAGGCGCGAAAGCUAGGGGAGCAAACAGG